rnacentral:rRNA from 1 species
AGUCGAGGGGCAUCAGGAUGUAGCAAUACAUUGCUGGCGACCGGCGCACGGGUGAGUAACACGUAUCCAACCUGCCUUUUACUCGGGGAUAGGCUUUCGAAAGAAAGAUUAAUACCCGAUGGCAUAAUAUUUCCGCAUGGGAUUAUUAUUAAAGAAUUUCGGUAAAAGAUGGGGAUGCGUUCCAUUAGGCAGUUGGCGGGGUAACGGCCCACCAAACCUUCGAUGGAUAGGGGUUCUGAGAGGAAGGUCCCCCACAUUGGAACUGAGACACGGUCCAAACUCCUACGGGAGGCAGCAGUGAGGAAUAUUGGUCAAUGGGCGAGAGCCUGAACCAGCCAAGUAGCGUGAAGGAUGACUGCCCUAUGGGUUGUAAACUUCUUUUAUAGGGGAAUAAAGUGAGCCACGUGUGGCUUUUUGUAUGUACCCUAUGAAUAAGGAUCGGCUAACUCCGUGCCAGCAGCCGCGGUAAUACGGAGGAUCCGAGCGUUAUCCGGAUUUAUUGGGUUUAAAGGGAGCGUAGGUGGACAUGUAAGUCAGUUGUGAAAGUUUGCGGCCCAACCGUAAAAUUGCAGUUGAUACUGUGUGUCUUGAGUACAGUAGAGGUGGGCGGAAUUCGUGGUGUAGCGGUGAAAUGCUUAGAUAUCACGAAGAACUCCGAUUGCGAAAGGCAGCUCACUGGACUG